GAUGAACGCUGGCGGCGUGCCUAAUACAUGCAAGUCGAGCGAACAGACGAGAGUGCUUGCACUCUCUGACGUUAGCGGCGGACGGGUGAGUAACACGUGGGUAACCUACCUAUAAGACUGGGAUAACUUCGGGAAACCGGAGCUAAUACCGGAUAAUAUUUAGCUUCGCAUGAAGCAAUAGUGAAAGACGGUUCUGCUGUCACUUAUAGAUGGACCCGCGGUGUAUUAGCUAGUUGGUGAGGUAACGGCUCACCAAGGCAACGAUACAUAGCCGACCUGAGAGGGUGAUCGGCCACACUGGGACUGAGACACGGCCCAGACUCCUACGGGAGGCAGCAGUAGGGAAUCUUCCGCAAUGGACGGAAGUCUGACGGAGCAAUGCCGCGUGAGUGAAGAAGGUUUUCGGAUCGUAAAACUCUGUUGUAAGGGAAGAACAAGUACGUUAGUAACUGAACGUACCUUGACGGUACCUUACCAGAAAGCCACGGCUAACUACGU
rnacentral:rRNA from 1 species